rnacentral:pre_miRNA from 1 species
AAACUUGUGUUGGAGAAGGGGAGCACGUGCAAAGUUUUGCUAUAAGCUUAGCUUCAGCUCCCAUGCAGAAGCAUUUGAGCUAGAACUUGCACGUGCCCUGCUUCUCCAACAAGAGCUA